CAGCCGCCACGGGAAUACGUAGGUGGCAAGCGCUGUCCGGAAUUAUUGGGCGUAAAGGGCUCGCAGGCGGUUUCUUAAGUCUGAUGUGAAAGCCCCCGGCUCAACCGGGGAGGGUCAUUGGAAACUGGGAAACUUGAGUGCAGAAGAGGAGAGUGGAAUUCCACGUGUAGCGGUGAAAUGCGUAGAGAUGUGGAGGAACACCAGUGGCGAAGGCGACUCUCUGGUCUGUAACUGACGCUGAGGAGCGAAAGCGUGGGGAGCGAACAGGAUUAGAUACCCCUGUAGUCCCUGUCUCUUAUAC
rnacentral:rRNA from 1 species